GGGCGAGUGGUGGAACUGGCAUACACGACGGACUUAAAAUCCGUUCCCCGCAAGGGGAUGAGGGUUCAAGCCCCUCCUCGCCCACCA
rnacentral:tRNA from 1 species